AGUGAACGCUGGCGGUAGGCCUAACACAUGCAAGUCGAACGGCAGCACAGUAAGAGCUUGCUCUUACGGGUGGCGAGUGGCGGACGGGUGAGGAAUACAUCGGAAUCUACUUUUUCGUGGGGGAUAACGUAGGGAAACUUACGCUAAUACCGCAUACGGCCUACGGGUGAAAGCAGGGGAUCUUCGGACCUUGCGCGAUUGAAUGAGCCGAUGUCGGAUUAGCUAGUUGGCGGGGUAAAGGCCCACCAAGGCGACGAUCCGUAGCUGGUCUGAGAGGAUGAUCGGCCACACUGGAACUGAGACACGGUCCAGACUCCUACGGGAGGCAGCAGUGGGGAAUAUUGGACAAUGGGCGCAAGCCUGAUCCAGCCAUACCGCGUGGGUGAAGAAGGCCUUCGGGUUGUAAAGCCCUUUUGUUGGGAAAGAAAAGCAGCAGGUUAAUACCCCGCUGUUCUGACGGUACCCAAAGAAUAAGCACCGGCUAACUUCGUG
rnacentral:rRNA from 1 species